rnacentral:rRNA from 1 species
UGGGGAAUAUUGGACAAUGGGCGAAAGCCUGAUCCAGCCAUGCCGCGUGUGUGAAGAAGGUCUUCGGAUUGUAAAGCACUUUAAGUUGGGAGGAAGGGCAGUAAGCGAAUACCUUGCUGUUUUGACGUUACCGACAGAAUAAGCACCGGCUAACUCUGUGCCAGCAGCCGCGGUAAUACAGAGGGUGCAAGCGUUAAUCGGAAUUACUGGGCGUAAAGCGCGCGUAGGUGGUUCGUUAAGUUGAAUGUGAAAGCCCCGGGCUCAACCUGGGAACUGCAUCCAAAACUGGCGAGCUAGAGUAGGGCAGAGGGUGGUGGAAUUUCCUGUGUAGCGGGGAAAUGCGUAGAUAUAGGAAGGAACACCAGUGGCGAAGGCGACCACCUGGGCUCAUACUGACACUGGGGUGCGAAAGCGUGGGGAGCAAACAGG